rnacentral:rRNA from 1 species
AUUGAACGCUGGCGGCAUGCCUUACACAUGCAAGUCGAACGGCAGCGGACCUUCGGGUGCCGGCGAGUGGCGAACGGGUGAGUAAUGCAUCGGAACGUGCCAUUGAGUGGGGGAUAACGUAGCGAAAGUUACGCUAAUACCGCAUAUUCUGUGAGCAGGAAAGCAGGGGACCGCAAGGCCUUGCGCUCUUUGAGCGGCCGAUGUCAGAUUAGCUAGUUGGUGAGGUAAAGGCUUACCAAGGCGACGAUCUGUAGCGGGUCUGAGAGGAUGAUCCGCCACACUGGAACUGAGACACGGUCCAGACUCCUACGGGAGGCAGCAGUGGGGAAUUUUGGACAAUGGGCGCAAGCCUGAUCCAGCCAUGCCGCGUGAGUGAAGAAGG